rnacentral:rRNA from 1 species
CACGUAGGGCGCAAGCGUUGUCCGGAAUUAUUGGGCGUAAAGAGCUCGUAGGCGGUCUGUUGCGUCCGCUGUGAAAACUCGGGGCUUAACCCCGAGCCUGCAGUGGAUACGGGCAGACUAGAGGUAGGUAGGGGAGAAUGGAAUUCCCGGUGUAGCGGUGAAAUGCGCAGAUAUCGGGAGGAACACCGGUGGCGAAGGCGGUUCUCUGGGCCGAUACCGACGCUGAGGAGCGAAAGCGUGGGGAGCGAACAGG